GACGGAGGAUGCAAGCGUUAUCCGGAAUGAUUGGGCGUAAAGCGUCCGCAGGUGGCUGUGUAAGUCUGCUGUUAAAGAGUGAGGCUCAACCUCAUAAAAGCAGUGGAAACUACACGGCUAGAGUGCGUUCGGGGCAGAGGGAAUUCCUGGUGUAGCGGUGAAAUGCGUAGAUAUCAGGAAGAACACCGGUGGCGAAAGCGCUCUGCUAGGCCGCAACUGACACUGAGGGACGAAAGCUAGGGGAGCGAAUGGG
rnacentral:rRNA from 1 species